AUGUUCAUCCCUGAUGGAGAAAAAUUCUAUACUUUUGGCUUGGCGGCUAUGUGCUGGGCCUUGUGGAACUGCCGUAACAAAGUGACAUUUGAAUACAAACAGAUGAGGUCUCCUUUUGAGGUUGUGUACUCAGCUUGCGGAUAUUUGAAUUACUGGGCAGGACUGAUGAAUGGAGCUGAUCGCGAGGCCAUGGAGCGUGGAGCCAAAAUGCUGAAGACCAGCGCGUCGACCCUGAUGUGUAUUUGUGCGGCACCGGGGGAUGUAGAACAAGGAUGA
rnacentral:rRNA from 1 species